rnacentral:rRNA from 1 species
GACGAACGCUGGCGGCGUGCUUAACACAUGCAAGUCGAGCGGAGCGGCGAACGGGUGAGUAACGCGUGAGUAACUGCCCCCCUCUCUGGGAUAACAGUUGGAAACGGCUGCUAAUACCGGAUAGUGGGGGAUGACUCGCGUCCUAUCAGCUUGUGGGGGGGGUAGUGGCCUACCAAGGCGACGACGGGUAGCCGGCCUUAGAGUGCGACCGGCAACAUUUGGCUGAGAUACUGCCCUAACUCCUUCGGGAGGCAGCAGUGGGGAAUAUUUCACAAUGGUGGAAACCCUGAUGCAGCAACGCGCGUGCGGGAUGACGGCCUUUGGGUUGUAAACCUCUUUCAGCCAUGCCGCGGUAUUUGCAGAAGAAGCACCGGCUAACUACGUGCCAGCAGCCGCGGUAAUAC